rnacentral:rRNA from 1 species
AGUGAACGCUGGCGGUAGGCCUAACACAUGCAAGUCGAACGGCAGCACAGUAAGAGCUUGCUCUUACGGGUGGCGAGUGGCGGACGGGUGAGGAAUACAUCGGAAUCUACUUUUUCGUGGGGGAUAACGUAGGGAAACUUACGCUAAUACCGCAUACGACCUACGGGUGAAAGCAGGGGAUCUUCGGACCUUGCGCGAUUGAAUGAGCCGAUGUCGGAUUAGCUAGUUGGCGGGGUAAAGGCCCACCAAGGCGACGAUCCGUAGCUGGUCUGAGAGGAUGGGCAGCCACACUGGAACUGAGACACGGUCCAGACUCCUACGGGAGGCAGCAGUGGGGAAUAUUGGACAAUGGGCGCAAGCCUGAUCCAGCCAUACCGCGUGGGUGAAGAAGGCCUUCGGGUUGUAAAGCCCUGUUGUUGGGAAAGAAAAGCAGCAGGUUAAUACCCCGCUGUUCUGACGGUACCCAAAGAAUAAGCACCGGCUAACUUCGUG